AGCCCAACCUCCAAUACACACUUACUGUACUGUAAUAAUUUUUUGGAAGUUAACUGUGAAUUCGUUUUAGUAGUACAGCUCUAUUCAAACCACAUUGGAAGGGCGGGCCUACGCCGGCUAACUCCAUCUUGUUCUGUGUCCUUCACCUUGACCACACCUCCUCCCCUUGAGUAACCCCCCCCCCCCACACCUGCCUAACAGGACUCUUCCCCAGGACCCUUCCCCAGCCAAUCGGCUGAGGCCACAGCCAUUACCUCACCAACUGCCCCUAGGCCCCAAUAAAACCUUUGUCCUUUUGAAACUGGCUCUCUCUCCCCGGUAUCUCACCUCUGCAUCAGUGCAGGUAGGGGAUUGAGCUCGAGCUAGCUCGAAUAAAGGCUCUUUUGCUUUUACAUCGGACUCGGCUCCCUGGCGGUAUUUGGGGAUCACGAAUUCUGGGCAUAACACACAUGACAUGAGUAUUAAUUUAUUCUCAAUACCAGCUAGCUCUGGUUCUUUAAUUACCUUUUUCUGUCAUGUAAGAUCGAUGAGGGAGCAUGAGGCAAGUUGAGGGCAAAAUACAAGUUAGCACAUGCCCCCGCCCCAGGUGGGAUAUGUGUGAUUCUGGCUGCUCGAGGACAAAGGAAAGGAAAGAAAACAAAUGGUUAACUGAUAAGAGAUCUCAGUCGGGCAAGAUAGGAGUUUCCAUCAGUUUACAAAUAUCUUAGUAAAUUACAAGAAAAAGGCAAUCUUAUCAAUAGCCUAAUCGCCAGAAACCUACAGAAUCAGCUUCCUGGAGCCCCAACAUCACCCCUCCAUAGUGAUAUGGGGAACAAAGGCAAGAAGGAAAUCUCAGGUAAAAUUAAAUUUCCUUAUAACCUGCAGCCUAUUGACAGAUACUUGAGGCAGGCAAAUAAAAUAUUUCUCCAGGAACUCCCUACUGUCUUAAUGCUUUGCUAGAGGGAAAAACAACCUUAGCUUGACAAUAGCAAGGCCUCUGGUAUCUUAGGAGUCCUCUUUCACAUAUCACAGUCCCUCUGGAGACUUCCCUUUUGACUUGACCUCCCAAUUCCAUAGCAUAUAACCUGUCACUCUUCACAACCCCAGCGCAGUUCUUUCUGCCCACGGUCCUGUCCCUGUGCUUUCAUAAAAUCGCCUUUUUGCACCAAAGACAUGUUCAAGAAUUCUUUCUUGGCCGUCGGCUCCCGACUCCCCACCAUCUCCCCAAAACUUCAUCAAGAUGAACGUGAAAACUCAACACAAGCAAGUUGUUGCCUUGUCCACGACAAAUCUUUUCUAUUCCACAACCAUCCCCUACUUUGUCACCCCCUAGCUCGUUACCCUGCUGCACUGAUGCCAGCAUGGCUCACAUACGUUUUCCCAUCAACGGCCAUCUUUUUCUCCUUCCAGUAUGAAAGAUUCUUGGGGACAGUCCCUGUGUAUUCUUUGUACCCCCAGUACUUAGUACACUGUCGACACAGAGUGCGCGUGGCACUGAGUGUUUUUCAAUGAAUUCAUUCAUUGUUAUCAACGGAUUCCACCCUAUUUUGUCCUGUAUUGCCUACAUAACUAUGAAAUUCAGAUUCUUAGAAGAGACUCUCGGUGUUAUAAGAUGCUUAGUAGAGGUGGUGAGUUUUAAGACAUUAUAUUGACACCACUAAAACCUCUUGGUGGAGAAACUCAAUGAGCCCGUUCUCUGGCAUGCCGGCAAAACAAAAAACUGACCCUCAGUAUUCUUUCCCCAAGUUAGGCAUCAGCAAAUUAAUGAGAGGAGAGAGGAGGCCCCUGCUCUUGGGCACCCGCAGGAACUUACUCCAGCUCCGGACACACCGUAAACACUUUCAUCUAAUGGAAGAUAAGUUGUGAAAUCGGAUUUCUGAACCACAAGACACUUGUGUAAAAACGGCAUUCCAUGCCAGGCCUGAAAUGUUCCAAAGCUCAGUUCGCCCUUUAAGAACAUGAAAAUCAUUCUGAACUCAUAGGUUGUAUCAAGACAGACCAUAUACAGGAUUUGAUCCACGGGCCAUAAAUAAUAAAUAUAAAUAAAAGCAGAUGGUAUAUGAACACUUACAUAACAAGGUUCAUAUGGGUGUCCAUAAUUGCUCAGACUUCAUUACCCCUUUUCCUCUACAACUGAAGGGCUUUUU